CUUCACUGGGCGUCUGUUCUUUGAUGCAGCUGUCUGUAAUUGAGUUUCCUGGGUUUUGCCAAUUUUGUGAUGUCACUUCUGGUUUUUCGACAGUUGCGCGACGUCAUUUCCGGUUCGGCGAUUCAUUCCUAUGAUCAAGGUGGGCGUAUGCUUCCUGUGAUGGAUAGAUUAAUGAUGGGAGCCUUUGGGGCUCAAAAAGUAAACAAAAUCAAAGUUGUAGGCAAAUGAAAAAUGGAACAUUUAUUUUUAAAGUAUAGGAUUUUUUUGCAAAUGAAAAAAAAUGAAAAAAACACACAGAGAUCUUACUCAUUAGGGUCUAUAUGAAUACAUGGAAGGUUGAAUGUUUUGCCCAUGUGGCUAAUUAAUCGAUACUUAUGAUUACUAGGCAUCUAAAUAAUUAAUGGUAUUAUUGCUAUAUGUUGAGUGCCAGUCACUUCCAUGUAAACGGAUUAUAAGACCUCUAGAUUUUUA